AAGACGAGGAUAACAAUCGGAAACGGUUGCUAAGACUGGAUAGGAAACAGAAAGGCAUCUUUUUGUUUUUAAAAGACCUUCUUCGGAGGGUAUGCUUAAAGAGGGGCUUGCGCCACAUUAGUUAGUUGGUGAGGUAAAGGCUUACCAAGAUUAUGAUGUGUAGCUGGACUGAGAGGUUGAACAGCCACAUUGGGACUGAGACACGGCCCAAACUCCUACGGGAGGCAGCAGUAGGGAAUUUUCGGCAAUGGAGGAAACUCUGACCGAGCGACGCCGCGUGAACGAUGAAGUAUUUCGGUAUGUAAAGUUCUUUUAUUGAAGAAGAAAAAAUAGUGGAAAAACUAUCUUGACGUUAUUCAAUGAAUAAGCCCCGGCUAACUAUGUGCCAGCAGCCGCGGUAAGACAUAGGGGGCGAGCGUUAUCCGGAAUUAUUGGGCGUAAAGGGUGCGUAGGCGGUUAGAUAAGUCUAUAAUUUAAUUUCAGUGCUUAACGCUGUCUUGUUAUAGAAACUGUCUUGACUAGAGUGAGAUAGAGGCAAGCGGAAUUCCAUGUGUAGCGGUAAAAUGUGUAAAUAUAUGGAGGAACACCAGAAGCGUAGGCGGCUUGCUGGGUCUUUACUGACGCUGAGGCACGAAAGCGUGGGGAGCAAACAGGAUUAGAUACCCUGGUAGUCCACGCUGUAAACGAUGAGUACUAAGUGUCGGGGAAACUCGGUACUGAAGUUAACACAUUAAGUACUCCGCCUGAGUAGUACGUACGCAAGUAUGAAACUUAAAGGAAUUGACGGGACUCCGCACAAGCGGUGGAUCAUGUUGUUUAAUUCGAAGAUACACGAAAAACCUUACCAGGUCUUGACAUACUCUGCAAAGCUAUAGAAAUAUAGUGGAGGUUAUCAGGGAUACAGGUGGUGCAUGGUUGUCGUCAGUUCGUGUCGUGAGAUGUUAGGUUAAGUCCUAAAACGAACGCAACCCCUGUCGUUAGUUGCCAGCACGUAAUGGUGGGGACUUUAGCGAGACUGCCAAUUAAACAUUGGAGGAAGGUGGGGAUAACGUCAAAUCAUCAUGCCCCUUAUGAUCUGGGCUACAAACGUGAUACAAUGGCUAUUACAAAGAGUAGCUGAAACGCGAGUUUUUAGCCAAUCUCAAAAAGGUAGUCUCAGUACGGAUUGAAGUCUGCAACUCGACUUCAUGAAGCUGGAAUCGCUAGUAAUCGCGAAUCAGCAUGUCGCGGUGAAUACGUUCUCGGGGUUUGUACACACCGCCCGUCAAACCACGAAAGUUAGCAAUACCCGAAAGCAGUGGCUUAACUUCGCAAGAAGAGGGAGCUGUCUAAGGUAGGGUUGAUGAUUGGGGUUAAGUCGUAACAAGGUAUCC
rnacentral:rRNA from 1 species